AUGAUAUCCGUAUCGGACAUAAAAAAGUGGUAUCGUGCCAUCUCUAGAAUAUACAAACAUACAUACAUACAUACAUAUAUAUGUAGCCCUUAUUUACUCAAUACCAAUAAAUAAAUGAGCUUUGGGUUCUUUUCCUAGUGUACUUUCGCACGAUAUUCUUAAAUUAACUUCUCUUUUGUUUCUGGGAUCAAUGAAGCUUAACUCUUAAAAGUAGCACUACACACUAAAAUGAACACUAGUGUCUACAGUGCAGUAAAUCAUGUCAUACACCAUGCAAAGUAAACCAAUGUAACCCUCCUUUAAUUUACUAAAAUAGUGAAAACAUUAAAAUAAUAAAAUGGCAGGUUUCAGUAUUCAGGGAAACCAAAAAAGCACACAGCAAUUUACCAGCUGUACACAGAAUCUCCACAUAUACAGUGUAAACCACUAGUGAUAAAACCAAUAUAGUCCCAAACUAAGCCUAAAGCCGGCAGAAAUAAAUCCUACGUUGCAGGCCUGUAUUGCUCCAGUAUAAAUCCAAAAUGAUCUCCAAACCGGAAGUUCUUCACUCAAUGAGCAAAAGAAAUAAAUAAACUCAGUACCUUGUGAAAGUGUAACUCCCACCAGAUUAAUCCAGGCAACAGGUUGUCUUCACCUCCUUCAGAAGCGCUCCACUCUGACUACAGUAGCACAAAGAUGAGGAAGGUCCGUGAUCUCCACGUGCUCCACAAGCUACUUGUUUUAGCUUCCCACGUUGCCAGAGGUACUCUGAGUGACGCGGGCACUCAGAGUGACUAUCUGGGGUCUCUCUGUCGCUAUCCAGUUAGGUAACGAUCCUCUGCAGCUUUUUACGUUCCACAACUUUAGCGAAACGCCAGUCUACAGUAGUCCUUAUUAGCGAACGGCUGGGUUAGCCUCACUUUAACUCAAUCGUGCAUAGCCGCAAGAAACACACAGUCCAGCAGUUUCACGCCGAAACUUUACGUGUCAUGUCACUAGCUUACCGACACUGUGACUUGUCUUUCCGAAAAGUCAAAACACACUUACUAAUACUACACAAAAACAAGCUAGCUUCUCCGGAUGUGUAACUCACGCACCACCACCCUCUCUCCUUGCGCUCUGUCCUCACUUUUCUUCUCCACCUUGUGCUACCUUCACAGACCAUAUUCCUGUAGGAAAUUACACUUCUCACAAGCAAUUCACAAGAAAAGAAAGAUGUUUUUAAUCAUUUUACAUGAACUUUGAUCUUUUUAAUAAACAAGAAAAUUUAAAUAAAUGAACUCUUUGAUAUUUAUAUUCUUAGACUUUACUUAUCUUUUACUAUUAUGCAUCUUUUUAAUCCGGGUUACAUAUAUAUCUUAAAUAUUUAUUUAAAUAAUUGGGAAAAUUCAUUAAAAAAUUAAGAAGUAAACUUAAUGUGACUUCUUCACUGUCACUUAUGGUUUUGCAGGAUGGGGUCAGAAUUUUCUCUACGGUAUUAAAAAUGGUAUUGAGUGUGUAAUACAGUGUUGGCCAAGACCCCAGCAAAAAGGAGAGCUCAGCUGAUGACAGAAGCAGAGGGAAGGUGGAGAAUUAGACUAAAAAGAUAAGCUCAGGUAUCUCAGGAUAAUUCAGCCUGAAACUUUGCACUAAGACAGCAAAAGACCAAAAGACUCAUCUCCCUGAGUGUUUCAAGCUUAUGAAGCAAACACUAUAUUUGCCAGUGUUUUGGGCUUCAUUUGUAAGAAAAAUUAGUUAGUACUUGAAUAUGAUUUGCUGUAUUUGUUGUUGUUUGAAUUGAUGAUUAUAUUAGUCUUGUUUUAAAAUAAAGAAUGAUUUUUCUCCUCUUGGUUUCAGGUCACUUUUUUUUAAUGUAUUGUUAUCUCUGAGAGAGCACAGCAUCCCCAUGCACCACAGUACACAGCAGUACAGAACAUAUACAAGAAUAACGGUGGGAAAAGAACAUACACAGGCUAACAUGCAGUUUGUUUCUCAUAGUUAUUCGAGAUUUUUAUAAUGCAUUAAUUUUUGUAAAGAACUGCAAGUUAAUAGACAACAUAAACAUAGAUGUGUUUGUGAGAAAACAAUUAUAAGACUAACUUCAAUUCAAUUCAAUUCAGUUUUAUUUAUAUAGCGCCAAAUCACAACAAAAGUCGCCUCAAGGCGCUUUAUAUUGUACAGUAGAUAGCACAAUAAUAAAUACAGAGAAA